GCAAACUUGGUCAUUUAGAGGAAGUAAAAGUCGUAACAAGGUUUCCGUAGGUGAACCUGCGGAAGGAUCAUUAUUGAAUGUCCUCGAUGGGUUGUUGCUGGCUCUUCUGAGCAUGUGCACACUUAUCUUGAUUCCAUUCAUCCACCUGUGCACACUUUGUAGUCUUUUUUGUGGGGAACUGGCUAUCAGUUGAAAGACUUGGAUUUUGAGGUUUGCUCAAUGCUCUCCUCUUGGCUGUGUAACCUUCAACCAAGAAGGGCUAUGACUUUUAAUCAUAAACCUGUAGUAUGUUGUCAGAAUGUGUUAAAUGUGGCCUCUGUGCCUAUAAAUUCUUUAUACAACUUUCAGCAACGGAUCUCUUGGCUCUCGCAUCGAUGAAGAACGCAGC
rnacentral:misc_RNA from 1 species